rnacentral:rRNA from 1 species
AGUGAAGCGGGAUGAGCUCAAAUUUAAAAUCUGGCUGGUUUACUAGUCCGAAUUGUAGUUUAAAGAAGCGUUUUCGGUGGCAGCCUGGGUAUAAAUCCUUUGGAACAGGGUAUCAUAGAGGGUGAGAAUCCCGUCUUUGACUCAGUGCAUGCUACUAUGUGAUACGUUUUCAAAGAGUCGAGUUGUUUGGGAAUGCAGCUCAAAAUGGGUGGUAAAUUUCAUCUAAAGCUAAAUAUUGGCGAGAGACCGAUAGCGAACAAGUACCGUGAGGGAAAGAUGAAAAGAACUUUGAAAAGAGAGUUAAACAGUGCGUGAAAUUGUUGAAAGGGAAACGCUUGACACCAGUCAUGCGAGCGGAAAAUCAGUCUUUUGCAGUGGGGAGUUGUGUGGGUUCGGACCGCAAGGCCGGCCUGCGCUGCAUCUCUGCUGUAAGUGAUGCACUUUUUCGUUUGCAGGCCAACAUCAGUUUCUUCUGCUGGACAAAACUCUUGAGAAGGUGGCAGCUUAGGCUGUGUUAUAGCUCUUGAGCGAUACAGUGGAGGGGACUGAGGUUUUCGCAGCGCGUGCUCUCGGGCAAGGCUGAUUGGGUGCUAUGGGAUCGUUCGGUGUACAAUGCAUGCAUUUUGCGCCGUGUCUUUUCUAUACUCGCUCAACUCGGCUCUCCGCGCUUAGGAUGUUGGCUUAAUGGUUUUAAUCGACCCGUCUUGA